rnacentral:lncRNA from 1 species
GUCAAACAUUGGCCAACCAGGCCACUGUUGGCCUUCUGGGCCACUGGGGCACACUGAUGGCUCGUGGUCAACCUGUACUGAAAUAUUGGCCAACUGUUGGCCAACCUGUAGUCAAACAUUGGCCAACCAUUGGCCAACCAGGCCACUGUUGACCUUCUGGGCCACUGGGACACGUUGAUGGCUCGUGGUCAGCCUGCACUCAAAUAUUGGCCAACUGUUGGCCAACCUGUAGUCAAACAUUGGCCAACCAUUGGCCAAGCAGGCCACGGUUGGCCUCCUGUGCCACCAUGGCACGCCGCUGCCUCGUGGUCAACCUGUACUGAAAUAUUGGCCAACUGUUGGCCAAUCUGUAGUCAAACAUUGGCCAACCAUUGGCCAACCAGGCCACUGUUGGCCUUCUGGGCCACUGGGGCACACUGAUGGCUCGUGGUCAGCCUGCACUCAAAUAUUGGCCAACUGUUGGCCAACCUGUAGUCAAACAUUGGCCAACCAGGCCCCUGUUGGCCUCCUGUGCCACCAUGGCACACCGCUGGCUCGUGGUCAACCUGUACUCAAACAUUGGCCAACCAUUGGCCAACCUGUAGUCAAAUAUUGGCCAACCAUUGGCCAACCAGGCCCCUGUUGGCCUCCUGUGCCACCAUGGCACGCCGCUGCCUCGUGGUCAACCUUUGCUGAAAUAUUGGCCAACUGUUGGCCAACCUGUAGUCAAACAUUGGCCAACCAUUGGCCAACCAGGCCACUGUUGACCUUCUGGGCCACUGGGACACGUUGAUGGCUCGUGGUCAGCCUGCACUCAAAUAUUUGCCAACUGUUGGCCAACCUGUAGUCAAACAUUGGCCAACCCGGCCCCCGUUGGCCUCCUGUGCCACCAUGGCACGCCGCUGGCUCGUGGUCAACCUGUACUCAAACAUUGGCCAACUGUUGGCCAACCUGUACUGAAAUAUUGGCCGACCAUGGGCCAACCAGGCCACCAUUGGCCUUUUGUGCCAACAGGUCAUGCCACUGCCUCGUGGUCAAUCUGUACUCAAAUAUUGGUCAACUGUUGGCCAACCUGUACUCAAAUAUUGGCCAACCAGGCCACUGUUGGCCUUCUGGGCCACUGGGGCAUGUUGAUGGCUCAUGGGCACCCUGUAGUCAACUGCUGGCCAACCAUUGGUCAACCAUUGUCCAACCAGGCCACCGUUGGCCUUCUGUGCCACCAGGGCACGUCGCUGCCUCAUGGUCAACCUGUACUGAAAUAUUGGCCAACUGUUGGCCAACCUGUAGUCAAACAUUGGCCAACCAUUGGCCAACCAGGCCACUGUUGGCCUUCUGGGCCACUGGGGCACACUGAUGGCUCGUGGUCAACCUGUACUCAAAUAUUGGCCAACUGUUGGCCAACCUGUAGUCAAACAUUGGCCAACCAUUGGCCAACCAGGCCACUGUUGACCUCCUGGGCCACUGGGGCACGUUGAUGGCUCACAGUCAACCUGUACUGAAAUAUUGGCCAACUGUUGGCCAACCUGUAGUCAAACAUUGGCCAACCAGGUCACUGUUGGCCUCCUGUGCCACCAGGGUACGCCGCUGGCUCGUGG